GAUUGUCACAUGACCAAAGCUGUUUACUUCUUCGUUACGCCAUGAGAAGACGAUAGCUGCGUCAAAGCUCCCAAACAAAAGUUUCACUUUGAGUCAAGUUCUGGAUAUGUUGGAUCUAGGUGACUGCCCAGACAAGGCAUGCAACAUUGCAGUUGUCCCUCAGAGAUUGUGAUAGCGGUGGGUCAGAUAUGGACUAUGGGGGGGAGACAGGCCAUUUGCCAGCCAGGCUGUUGAAUGUAUAUGCUGAACCUAUGCAAAUAGACCAUGACAGGAACAAUGUUAUCAGUGAUGAUGACCUACCCCUCACUACCCCACACUCUCCUCCCUGAGACUGGGUUGGGUCAUGGACCUCAAGGUUGCAAGUUCCUUCAUGACAACCUCUUCACUUCACUUGCACUCCUCAAUGAAAUGACAAAAAGAGGAUAUGGGAGCUCUGGAACGAUGAGGCAAAAUCGUCGGUUUGAUGUCCCAUUCAAGCCACAGAAAGACUUCAUGAAGUUACCUGGGGAACCUCUGAGGUUUUGAGCCAAGGAGACAAGUUGCUGGUCCGUUAGAAAGACAAUAACAUUGUCACAGUGGCAACAAACAUGGAGGAGAAAUACAGUGAGACCUCUGUCAAGAGAUGGAAUAAGGAGCGAUGUGCCUUUUGACAAAAUCCUACAACAAAAUGCAUCAACCGAUACAAUGAGCACAUGGGUGGUGUUGUUCUUCACAACCUACAGGUUUCAAGAUACUAUAUCUCCAUCAGUUCUAAGAAGUGGUGGUGGCCCAUCUUUGCAUGGUCUCUCAACAGUGCACUUGUAAACAGCCAUUUAUUUUACAGCGACGUUAUGGGAGGGACAAUCGACCUGCUCACCUUCUCAUGGAUAGUGGCACAGUCUCUUAUGCAAAAGUUUGGCACGAGACCACUGAGCUACGAAAGGAAAUCUCUACUGGCUGCCACUAAAGAUCAGGAGAAAUGCAAAGCGCCACUGCACAUUGAGUGCUUCAAGAUAUACCACGGGCAGUAGAAAAGGUGUUAAGAGCGAAUGAAAAAGGGCUGUAAAACCCAAUAAAAAAUCAAAUGUGAAAAGUCAAUAAAGGGUGAGGAGAAGCAGUACCAUGGACUCUAGGAAGAAAACAAAAGUCAACGAAAAAGGGAAUCAAUUGAUUCAAGACCUACUGUAUGAAAGUAGGUCUGACUGAUUGUAGUUCAAAAUAGUGAUGCACAAACUAAUUGUGCAAUUGGUUCUGAAGCCUACCUCUAUCAUAUAGAUAUACAUGUGUAUACGUAUGGAUGGAUGGAUGGAUGGAUGGAUGGAUGGAUGGAUGGAUGGAUGACGGAACGUGUCUCCUUCCUGAGCUGUAUGACGGCUGCGUGGUCCCAUGGUGUUUAUACUUGCAUACUAUUGUUUGAACAGAUGAACAUGCUACCUUCAGGCGUUUGGAAAUUGCUCCCAAGGAUGAACCAGACUUGUGCAGGUCAACAAUUUUUUUUCUGAGGUCUUGGCUGAUUUCUUUUGAUUUUCCCAUGAUGUAAAGCAGUUGAGUGUAUGUAAACUUCUGACCCACUGGGAAUGUGAUUGAAGAAAUAAAAGCUGAAAUAAAUAAUU